GAUGAGGGUCUAAAAAAAAGGGGGUGAGGGUCAUCGGCAUGGCCUUAGAGGCAGGUUCUUUUUACUUUUCCUUAUGUCACGUGAUUAGUAUGGAAAUGGUGUUUAACUUUGCUCCCCACCCCCUCUUUUUUAGACCCUCAUCCUGGGGGUAGAAAGGGAUCUUCUUGAACGAAAGAGGAGAGCGAUGCGGAGCUCGGGAGGGCUAUCGCCCGUAACAGCGAGCUGGAGGUCCUACUGAAGGCGAGGGAGGAUGAACUUGAACUGAGUCGAGGGGUGAGGGCAGAGAAUGACGAGCUGCAGCUGAAGGUGGCCGGCUUGAACACCAAGCUAAAUUCCAAGACGGUGGAGAUCGACGGUCUAAAGGGCGAGUUAAAUGCCAAUGCUAAUAAGUUAGCCGCCGCCAUUUCCAAAACGGUAUCACUAAAAUGCCCUCCGCACAUGCAGAUCGAAAUUGACCCGGGAAAGAGAGGCCUCCGGUCACCGGGUAGGGGAACUCGAAAGGCGUAUUAGGGAGUUAGGGGCAGAGUUGUCUGCUUCGCAAAGGAAAGUAGCUCCACCGUGGGCAGAGGAAAUAGAUUGCCGUUCUAGGCCCUCUACAUCUCAUCCUCAGGCUGGUCAGGGCUUGCCUCGUUGCUUGUAUGAUAUGUGGGUUUAUUUGGAGGCUCGGCUUGACAUAUAUAGAGCCUUUUACACCGAGGGCCGGUCGAUAGAGGUGGAGGUUCAGACGGUGCAUACUAAAGCACGUACAGCUCGUGAGUUGUGCGGGUAUGACCCUGACAAUCCAGACGGGGAGGGUGUCUCCUCUGAUUACGUGAAUCGCUUUGAUUCGAACUCGUGGUAUGAAGACUCCUACCAUACUUGAGCCGACCAAUAGUUUUUAGUUUGUACAUUUUGUUUAAGAAUUUUUGGGUGUGGGUUGUGUCAGCACGUGAUUUUUGCCCUAUAUGAAUUACUCCCAUAAUUCAAAACAAAAUAAUUUCUUUUUAUUACUUUCAAUGUUGUGGAUUUUUCGUGGCAUUUUAUGUCAACUGCUUGCAUUUUAAUUCAAAAAAAAGACAAAAAAACAUAAAAUACAAAUAUAUUUUGCAUUUGGAGUUUAGGACUUAACUUUGCAUUUCACAAUUAUUUGGUAAUUAAGUCAUUUCAUAAAAGAAAAUUACAAAAAUUGUUUUAGGUCGCAUUUUUAAUUUUUGAUUUCGAUUUUAAGUAGUGUUUCUUUCAAACUUGUUUUGCAAUAAUUAUCAUAUGUGUUUAAUUAGUUUCUUGGGGUUAAUUGAGUUUUCAGAAUUAAUUUAGAUGUGUUUGUAGUUUUAAAUUUAAAAAAUGGGAUAAAGAAAUAAAAAGAAAAGGGAGAAAGGGGGGAAGGAGACCCUUUGGGCUGCUUCGGCCCAAUUCCCACAAGCCCAGUACCCCCUUAACCCAGACCCAUUCCCCAAACCAAUGGAAUUGACUCUAUCUCUAUACCCACUCUAACAUAACCCAAAAUCUCACAGAACCCCUAAAAUCAACGCGUACUGUUGUUCUUCUCCGAAGAAUACGCGAACCAAGCCCCAAAUUCCGUUCAAAUCCGGGCGAGUGAAUCCCAAAUCCCUAAUUCACGCAUCCCUUCUUCUCUCAUCUCACCAUUUAUGAUGAUUUCUGACACUAAAGAUUCUCCCCCUUCACUCGCUCAAGUCGGAGAUGAAGCACGCAAUUGGAAGGUCCUAGAGAUGGAUUGUUGGAUGAGGAUAAGUCGUUGGAUUGACUUCGUUCAAUCCCAGCCCCAUUUUCAUCAAGGGUUCGUCUCUAUAAAGGACGAUAUCCGAUUUUAAGAGCUGGGUUUUUUUUUGGACGAGAGGAUCUGAAGGGAGAUUCGAGAGGAAGUAAAAUUCUAGAGAUUAGUCUUCUUCAUAUUUAUUGUUGGUCUUCACUCGUAGCGUUAAUUUACAAACAUAUACAAAAAUGUUUGAUAUUUUUUUAUUUUAAUGUUGUUCGGUUCACUAUCGACCAACUUCGAAAUACAUGAAUUCCGUCGUCAAAGUUACUGGAAUUCGUUGUUGAUCGAGGCAUCGAUUUGUGGCUGUUGCACUGUGUCGAUUUCAAGUGUUGAGAUUCCUUCAAAUUUUUUCAUCCCAGGUUCACCUCUACUCCUUAUUUUAUUUCUAUUAUGAAGUGAGUCCUGGAAGGCCCUGGACGGAUUGUAAAAUGAAUUCAGUUAUGAUAGUAGAUGAGGUUUGUAUGGUUAUCUUCAAUUUCAUUUAUUGUUAUGCUUUUACGUUUUCCAUGAGUUCAUAUGUUAUUGAGUCAGUUUCUAAAUAGUCGAAGAUUAAAUGUGUUUGGUUUCAACAUCGUAUUUGUGUUUGUAUUGACUUUGUAGAUUGUUUUUGGUAUCAUCUUUCGGAUUAGACUUGCUUCGAACAUGACUCAUGCUGAUGUUGCAAACUUGGUAGAUUGGUAUCCUUAUAUAGUGUCAAGGUUGUUUCCCUGUUGCAUCUGUUCGAGAAUAAGCUUUGAUGAGCAUAAAUUGCUGAUGUUUGAAUCAUGAAUGAGUGUUUAAGUCGCCUUUGAGAUGCUGAGAAUUGGAUACCAUCAUAUAACCUAGAUUCUAACUGUCACCAAUUCUUCUCGUUUUCUCUCUUUGCUAGUUUUGGUUUUC
rnacentral:lncRNA from 1 species